rnacentral:rRNA from 1 species
AUUGAACGCUGGCGGCAGGCCUAACACAUGCAAGUCGAACGAGUGGCGGACGGGUGAGUAAUGUCUAGGAAACUGCCUGAUGGAGGGGGAUAACUACUGGAAACGGUAGCUAAUACCGCAUACCAUCGGAUGUGCCCAGAUGGGAUUAGCUAGUAGGUGGGGUAAAGGCUCACCAGGGCGACGAUCCCUAGCUGGUCUGAGAGGAUGACCAGCCACACUGGAACUGAGACACGGGCCAGAUGCCUACGGUAGGCAGCAGGGGGGAAGAUUGCACAAUGGGCGAAAGGCUGAUGGAGCCAUGCCGAGUGUAUGAAGAAGGCCUUCGGGUUGUAAAGUACUUGCAGCGGGGAGGCGUUACCCGCAGAAGAAGCACCGGCGAACUCCGUGCCAGCAGCCGCGGUAAUUC